UCAUGGAGUGAUGCUCUGUAUUGAGAAGACCUAUCAAGCCAGGUGAGAUUAUAGUCAUGGCCAAUACCUGUGUUACGUAACUGGCACUCAGGCUGGUGGCAAAUAAAAAGCACCCACUACACUC